GCCAAACGCUGUGAAUAAUUAAUUAUUUAUAUCAAUGGGAAGGUAUAUGUUGUAAAAGCAUAACAAAUAUUUAAUUUUAAACAGUGUAAUAGCCUGUGGUUUUUUAGCUAGCAAUCAUCUUUGUUAAUUGUGCUAUUUUCUGCCUUUAACAUUGAUUAAAUCCUUUGUAUCGCUACAAAAGCACUGCAAACCGCCUAAUGAAAUUUCAAGGAAUUUUCAAGGAAAUUAUGUAUACAAUCUAAGGAAUUUAGGGAAAUUUUGAUGAUAAAAAUGAGAAAUUUUGAUUUUUAAAAUGGAAGCACUGGGCUAAGUGUUUGUUUGCCUGUUUGUGAAAAGAAAUACUUAAAGACAACGCUUAAAUACAUCAAAGAAGCACAAAAUCCGAAGUUAAAGACAGGAGUAAGGUAUAUUCUAUCAUUUUGAUGUGAAAUGUUGAUAUUUUAGCGAGAUAAAGUGGUUAAAACUACUUGUCGAAGUUCACGACCGCAAGUCGCUUCACGUUCGACGUUCGUUUUGUACUUUUGUUCUGGCUAAAGAUACUGAAUUAUAGCUUACAUUUCGUGAAGUUUAGUUUAAAUUAGUAGGGAGAAGAGUGCAUAAAGUAUUUAGGGUAUUUUGGAGCUAAGUUUGUUUUAAAAUUUGUCAUUUUAGCGAAAACAAGAAAUGUUGAAAUGUCGUCCACGUGGUUGCUGCGAGGAGACAUCGGGCAUUGUAAUGAAUGGAUGACAACGUGUGUCGCUGGGCCGCAAACCUAUUCCCUCACUGCGGUAGGCAGUCAAGUAUUUUUAACCUGCACAUUUUUGUUUUUAUUUCCCGUGUUUUUAUUUUUUGUUCAUAAAUAUCAUGACUCAUGACUUUAAAGCUGGAAGGAGUUGAGAUUCCCCACUCAACUGCAUGCCUUCUGAAUAUUUAUACACUCCAUUUUACAUGCUACCAUUUUACCAGUAAGAAUUUUUUGAAAAUUUUGUGAUUUGAAAGCUGUUGCAUUUCAACUAUACCGAGCGCAACUAUAAAUAAAUUCUUUGUACGUAUAAAGCCCGUUCUCCACUAGGCGAAUUUAUUCGCGCGAACAGAUAAAAAGUAGGAAGCUAUCCUACUUUUUCGCCGCAAAUUUUUUCGCCGACCAAUCACGUUGCCGGAUUUCGGUUUUCGCUUCGCGUCGCGCGAACAAAUUCGCGUAGUGGAGAACGGGCUUAAAAUAGGUACGCUGUACGCAUUGCAUACAUAUGGCAAGUUCAAAGCAUGCAUGGGCAGUGUAGGCAGUUGCGAU